GGCGGCGUGCUUAACACAUGCAAGUCGAGCGGAAAGGCCCUUCGGGGUACUCGAGCGGCGAACGGGUGAGUAACACGUGAGUAACCUGCCCUGGACUUUGGGAUAACCCUCGGAAACGGGGGCUAAUACCGAAUACGACACACGUUCGCAUGAAGUCUGUGUGGAAAGUUUUUCGGUCUGGGAUGGACUCGCGGCCUAUCAGCUUGUUGGUGGGGUAAUGGCCUACCAAGGCGACGACGGGUAGCCGGCCUGAGAGGGCGACCGGCCACACUGGGACUGAGACACGGCCCAGACUCCUACGGGAGGCAGCAGUGGGGAAUAUUGCACAAUGGGCGGAAGCCUGAUGCAGCGACGCCGCGUGAGGGAUGACGGCCUUCGGGUUGUAAACCUCUUUCAGCAGGGACGAAGCGCAAGUGACGGUACCUGCAGAGGAGGCGCCGGCCAACUACGUGCCAGCAGCCGCGGUAAGACGUAGGGCGCGAGCGUUGUCCGGAUUUAUUGGGCGUAAAGAGCUCGUAGGCGGCUUGUCGCGUCGAAUGUGAAAUCUCAGGGCUCAACUCUGACAUUGCAUUCGAUACGGGCAGGCUAGAGUUCGGUAGGGGAGACUGGAAUUCCUGGUGUAGCGGUGAAAUGCGCAGAUAUCAGGAGGAACACCGGUGGCGAAGGCGGGUCUCUGGGCCGAUACUGACGCUGAGGAGCGAAAGCGUGGGGAGCGAACAGGAUUAGAUACCCUGGUAGUCCACGCUGUAAACGUUGGGCGCUAGGUGUGGGGACCCUCUCCGGGUUUCUGCGCCGCAGCUAACGCAUUAAGCGCCCCGCCUGGGGAGUACGGCCGC
rnacentral:rRNA from 1 species